rnacentral:rRNA from 1 species
AACGAACGCUGGCGGCAUGCCUAACACAUGCAAGUCGAACGAGACCUUCGGGACCAGUGGCGCACGGGUGCGUAACGCGUGGGAACCUGCCCUCAGGUUCGGAAUAACUCCCCGAAAGGGGUGCUAAUACCGGAUAAUGUCUUCGGACCAAAGAUUUAUCGCCUUUGGAUGGGCCCGCGUUGGAUUAGCUAGUUGGUAGGGUAAAAGACUACCAAGGCGACGAUCCAUAGCUGGUCUGAGAGGCUGAUCAGCCACACUUGGACUGAGACACGGCCCAGACUCCUACGGGAGGCAGCAGUGGGUGAUAUUGGACAGUGGGCGGAAGCCUGAUCCAGCAAUGCCGCGUGAGUGAUGAAGGCCUUAGGGUUGUAAAGCUCUUUUACCCGGGAUGAUAAUGACAGUACCGGGAGAAUAAGCUCCGGCUAACUCCGUG